rnacentral:rRNA from 1 species
UAGGGAAUCUUCCGCAAUGGGCGAAAGCCUGACGGAGCAACGCCGCGUGAGUGAUGAAGGUCUUCGGAUCGUAAAACUCUGUUAUUAGGGAAGAACAAAUGUGUAAGUAACUAUGCACGUCUUGACGGUACCUAAUCAGAAAGCCACGGCUAACUACGUGCCAGCAGCCGCGGUAAUACGUAGGUGGCAAGCGUUAUCCGGAAUUAUUGGGCGUAAAGCGCGCGUAGGCGGUUUUUUAAGUCUGAUGUGAAAGCCCACGGCUCAACCGUGGAGGGUCAUUGGAAACUGGAAAACUUGAGUGCAGAAGAGGAAAGUGGAAUUCCAUAUGUAGCGGUGAAAUGCGCAGAGAUAUGGAGGAACACCAGUGGCGAAGGCGACUUUCUGGUCUGUAACUGACGCUGAUGUGCGAAAGCGUGGGGAUCAAACAGG